rnacentral:rRNA from 1 species
GAUGAACGCUGGCGGCGUGCCUAAUACAUGCAAGUCGGGCGAACGGACGAGAAGCUUGCUUCUCUGAUGUUAGCGGCGGACGGGUGAGUAACACGUGGAUAACCUACCUAUAAGACUGGGAUAACUUCGGGAAACCGGAGCUAAUACCGGAUGAUAUUUUGAACCGCAUGGUUCAAAAGUGAAAGACGGUCUUGCUGUCACUUAUAGAUGGAUCCGCGCUGCAUUAGCUAGUUGGUAAGGUAACGGCUUACCAAGGCAACGAUGCAUAGCCGACCUGAGAGGGUGAUCGGCCACACUGGAACUGAGACACGGUCCAGACUCCUACGGGAGGCAGCAGUAGGGAAUCUUCCGCAAUGGGCGAAAGCCUGACGGAGCAACGCCGCGUGAGUGAUGAAGGUCUUCGGAUCGUAAAACUCUGUUAUUAGGGAAGAACAUAUGUGUAAGUAACUGUGCACAUCUUGACGGCACCUAAUCAGAAAGCCACGGCUAACUACGUG